GUGGGGAAUAUUGGACAAUGGGCGCAAGCCUGAUCCAGCCAUGCCGCGUGAGUGAUGAAGGCCUUAGGGUUGUAAAGCUCUUUCACCGAUGAAGAUAAUGACGGUAGUCGGAGAAGAAGCCCCGGCUAACUUCGUGCCAGCAGCCGCGGUAAUACGAAGGGGGCUAGCGUUGUUCGGAUUUACUGGGCGUAAAGCGCACGUAGGCGGUUUGUUAAGUCAGGGGUGAAAUCCAGGAGCUCAACUCCGGAACUGCCUUUGAUACUGGCAAGCUAGAGUCCGGAAGAGGUAAGUGGAACUCCUAGUGUAGAGGUGGAAUUCGUAGAUAUUAGGAAGAACACCAGUGGCGAAGGCGGCUUACUGGUCCGGAACUGACGCUGAGGUGCGAAAGCGUGGGGAGCAAACAGGAUUAGAAACCCGAGUAGUCC
rnacentral:rRNA from 1 species